CAUAGCAACAUGAUACAGUUUGGAAGCAGCUCCUGAGAAGACAAAGCUCAGAUCAGGGGAGAUAGGAAACUUUUGUUUUCUUUCCUAAAGAAGCAAGCAAGCAAAUAAAUAAAUCAAACAUGAAAAAAAGGGGGAAAGGACAAGAAUGAGCCACUAAGACAAAUUGCUAAAAACCUCUCCGGAUGAAGCCCUGCUGAGAGCAGGAGGAAACAGGCUACAAACCACCUAGAUACCUGCUUGCCUAGGAUACCUGUUGAGAGUUCACAACGAAUUACAGCAAGAAUGGAUCUUAUGGAGCAGUACUAAGUCUGAGUAAAUAUAAGAACUGAUUCUGUGAUACACUACAGGAAACAUUUGUUUCAUUAUACAUCUAAUGGAACUUUUGAUCACCUUCUGACUCUUCAGCUACUCUCUUGGGACUCUUUCUUUGCCAUUGUGUGCCUUUUUAUUGUCAGUAUGUCCAUACAAUUGUCUGUUGUGAUAAUUAUCACAGAUGUGUAAGAAAUUUGUUUGUAUGGCACUUUUUUGAUAUUAUGGGUUUUUUGAUGUGUAACUUUUCUAUAGAUUAUAUACACAGUUUAUAUACAUGUUCCUAUGUACACUGCAAACUGUGACGGUUAUUCACAAGUAAUUUUUGUAAAGCUGCCCACCUGCAAAUAGCAUCAUAAAAAUAUUUUGAGAGAAGGUAGAGCAGGACAGGUGGUCCCUUUUUCUGAAAAGGAAUGAAGUGAGACAAGAAUAACCUUAAAAUGCCGCUUUCUUCAUAAUGCGUUCAUUUUGCAAGGUAGGAGAGUGUGAUUGCACUGACAGCUACUCCAAUAUAACUCCAGGCUAAGCUCAGUCAUGUAAACAUGAAAGGUGCAACAUGCUCCACAAGAGAAAGUACACUGUACUCACAUAAACCACCAUGAAAUACAUCGCUUGUGCAAUAUUCACACUUCCCAAGGUCUCUCUCAGUGGAUACUCCAUUGAGGAAUUUGGCAUGGACAUCAUACUACAUGAAGGAGAUUCCCUUAUGCUUGUUGGGACAAACAUCUUCCAAUUUUAUUCCAUCUCCACUUUUGUUGCCUUGACACAGGAACCCAAACCCCAGCCCUCUGUCUCAUGGUCUGGGAAACUCUGACUUAGAAGAAUCUGCCAGUGAUACUGAAGACUUUUAAGUCUUGGCAGGAUCAGAGACAUAACUGAGAUCCUUUUAAAACUUAUCAGACCUGUUCCUGGGGAAGGGGUUACCUCCAUCUAGACCAGGGGCUGUGGUAUAAAGCCUUCAGUCAGCCUUAGGCUUUUAUUGGAGCAAUGACUCAUAUAGAGCUCCUGUGAACUGAUGACUUUAGCCUAUUGUAGUCCCAGCUUCAACCAGUUUGACCAUGCUUUUGCCAAGUCUUCUGUAUCUGUUGAUUACUGGUUUGACCUUGCUUCUGCCUGAACUACUGUACCUGCUUUGACCUUGCUUCUGCCUAGUCCCCUGUAUCUAUUGAUUACUGACUUGACUUUGGCCUGCUUGACCUUGCUUCUGCCUUGACUACUGAACCUGCUGGACUAGUGGUUUGACCUUGUAUCUGCUUUUGCCCUCUGCAUAUCUUGACUACUGCUGAGACUGGCCUGCUUGACACUGCUCCUGCCCUGCCCCUGUACCAGCUGAGCUACAGCCUUGUAAUUGCUGUGACAGUCCGGAGCAGAUGUUAAUUAAAAUGGCCCGAACUCCUCCAUGGAUAGCUUCAGAUAGUUGGUUUUAAGUACUAUAGCUGAAUUUUGAGAACUCUCUCCUGAACUCUCUCCCACCUCUGGGUUGACUCAGCUAAAGAAGAUAUAUAUUCCAACUGGGUCCCAACUUUCCAAAGCUUAAAUCACAGAUGUCUCCUUCUGGAGAUGUACUGAAUUUCAUUGUCCUGAGUAUUUGGGUUCAGCCAUUGAAUACACCAUCCAAGAAGAUAUUUGCCAAGACUGAUUUGCUCAUAGUUGGCUUGCGUAUCUUUAAGUUUGCCCUUAUAAGAAAAUUGAGCUUCUAUAUCCUUCCAGAAUAAGAAUAUACAUAUACAACAUCAAAUGGAAUGUUAUUGCCAGAUGAUAAAUUUUUACAUGUGAGUUAUACUGUAA